rfam:Tetranychus urticae London genomic scaffold, scaffold_2
GUGUUGUAUGAAAGGAGAGAUGUUUAGCACUCCCCUUGACAAGGACGGAACACACAAGACCUUUAGGAAGGCACUCUGCUUACUUCGCAGACCCUAAAGGCCACAUUUUU